rnacentral:rRNA from 1 species
GGGAAUUUUGGACAAUGGGGGCAACCCUGAUCCAGCCAUGCCGCGUGAGUGAAGAAGGCCUUCGGGUUGUAAAGCUCUUUCGCGAGGGAAGAAAACUUACUCAAUAACACUGGGUGAGGAUGACGGUACCUUGAUAAGAAGCACCGGCUAACUACGUGCCAGCAGCCGCGGUAAUACGUAGGGUGCGAGCGUUAAUCGGAAUUACUGGGCGUAAAGCGUGCGCAGGCGGUUUGACAAGUCAGAUGUGAAAGCCCCGGGCUCAACCUGGGAACUGCGUUUGAAACUGUCAGGCUAGAGUGUGUCAGAGGGAGGUAGAAUUCCACGUGUAGCAGUGAAAUGCGUAGAGAUGUGGAGGAACACCGAUGGCGAAGGCAGCCUCCUGGGAUAACACUGACGCUCAUGCACGAAAGCGUGGGGAGCAAACAGGAUUAGA